rnacentral:rRNA from 1 species
GACGAACGCUGGCGGCGUGCCUAAUACAUGCAAGUCGAACGCAGUGGGGACGGGUGAGUAACACGUGGGUAACCUCCCAUCAGAGGGGAUAACACUUGGAAAAAGGUGCUAAACCCAUACUGAUGGAUGAACCCGCGGUGCAUUAGCUAGUUGGUGAGGUAACGGGUCACCAAGGCCACGAUGCAUAGCAGACCAAGGGGGGUAAUCGGCCACACUGUGACGGAGCGGCGGCCCAGCCUCCUACGGCAGCCAGCGAUAGGGAAUCUUCGGCAAUGGAGGAAAGUCUGACCGAGCAACGCCGCUGAAGUGAAGAAGGUUUUCGGAUCGUAAAACUCUGUUGUUAGAGAAGCGGUAUCUAACCAGAAAGCCACGGCUAACUACGUGCCAGCCGCCGCGGUAAUUC